UGGGGAAUAUUGGGCAAUGGGCGCAAGCCUGACCCAGCAACGCCGCGUGAAGGAAGAAGGCUUUCGGGUUGUAAACUUCUUUGACAGAGGACGAAACAAAUGACGGUACUCUGAAAACAAGCCACGGCUAACUACGUGCCAGCAGCCGCGGUAAUACGUAGGUGGCGAGCGUUAUCCGGAUUUACUGGGUGUAAAGGGCGUGUAGGCGGGAUUACAAGUCAGAUGUGAAAACUAUGGGCUCAACCCAUAGCCUGCAUUUGAAACUGUAGUUCUUGAGUGAUGGAGAGGCAGGCGGAAUUCCUCGUGUAGCGGUGAAAUGCGUAGAUAUGAGGAGGAACACCAGUGGCGAAGGCGGCCUGCUGGACAUUAACUGACGCUGAGGCGCGAAAGCGUGGGGAGCAAACAGG
rnacentral:rRNA from 1 species